GCUUAGGUUGGUCGAGCCAUACUCAGUUUGAAUAUUCAUUUGUUGGAUGUAUUUAGCAUAGUCAUGUUAAUGGUUGGACCUAACCAGAAUUUUUAGUGGAGGCGCCACAUGCCUGCUAAAUAGAUGUCUAGGGCAAAACUUAAUUGCUAGAAGUUAUUUAGAGAAAUAAUUAGUUAUGAACUUACUCAUGGAUGCACUAGGAUUGGCCGAGCCACACUCGAACCUGAAUGCAGUCUAUAUGGAUUCUAGUACCCACUAAGGAAUUAA
rnacentral:lncRNA from 1 species